UUCCAAAUGGACAUAUUCAUGUACUUGAUUAAUUCUGUGGCACGCUUUUAUCCAUGUACAAUGUAAAGCUUGUCUCAAGCAAUGCUACAUUAGAGGCUUCUUUUAGCCCAGAUGGGAUGUUUGUUAUGUCAGCUCAAAGAGAGAAAAUAAGUGAAGCUAAUCGAGG